rnacentral:rRNA from 1 species
CGAAUGCUGACAUAAGUAACGAUAAAGCGGGUGAAAAGCCCGCUCGCCGGAAGACCAAGGGUUCCUGUCCAACGUUAAUCGGGGCAGGGUGAGUCGACCCCUAAGGCGAGGCCGAAAGGCGUAGUCGAUGGGAAACAGGUUAAUAUUCCUGUACUUGGUGUUACUGCGAAGGGGGGACGGAGAAGGCUAUGUUGGCCGGGCGACGGUUGUCCCGGUUUAAGCGUGUAGGCUGGUUUUCCAGGCAAAUCCGGAAAAUCAAGGCUGAGGCGUGAUGACGAGGCACUACGGUGCUGAAGCAACAAAUGCCCUGCUUCCAGGAAAAGCCUCUAAGCAUCAGGUAACAUCAAAUCGUACCCCAAACCGACACAGGUGGUCAGGUAGAGAAUACCAAGGCGCUUGAGAGAACUCGGGUGAAGGAACUAGGCAAAAUGGUGCCGUAACUUCGGGAGAAGGCACGCUGAUAUGUAGGUGAAGCGACUUGCUCGUGGAGCUGAAAUCAGUCGAAGAUACCAGCUGGCUGCAACUGUUUAUUAAAAACACAGCACUGUGCAAACACGAAAGUGGACGUAUACGGUGUGACGCCUGCCCGGUGCCGGAAGGUUAAUUGAUGGGGUUAGCGGUAACGCGAAGCUCUUGAUCGAAGCCCCGGUAAACGGCGGCCGUAACUAUAACGGUCCUAAGGUAGCGAAAUUCCUUGUCGGGUAAGUUCCGACCUGCACGAAUGGCGUAAUGAUGGCCAGGCUGUCUCCACCCGAGACUCAGUGAAAUUGAACUCGCUGUGAAGAUGCAGUGUACCCGCGGCAAGACGGAAAGACCCCGUGAACCUUUACUAUAGCUUGACACUGAACAUUGAGCCUUGAUGUGUAGGAUAGGUGGGAGGCUUUGAAGUGUGGACGCCAGUCUGCAUGGAGCCGGCCUUGAAAUACCACCCUUUAAUGUUUGAUGUUCUAACGUUGGCCCCUGAUCGGGGUUGCGGACAGUGUCUGGUGGGUAGUUUGACUGGGGCGGUCUCCUCCUAAAGAGUAACGGAGGAGCACGAAGGUUGGCUAAUCCUGGUCGGACAUCAGGAGGUUAGUGCAAUGGCAUAAGCCAGCUUGACUGCGAGCGUGACGGCGCGAGCAGGUGCGAAAGCAGGUCAUAGUGAUCCGGUGGUUCUGAAUGGAAGGGCCAUCGCUCAACGGAUAAAAGGUACUCCGGGGAUAACAGGCUGAUACCGCCCAAGAGUUCAUAUCGACGGCGGUGUUUGGCACCUCGAUGUCGGCUCAUCACAUCCUGGGGCUGAAGUAGGUCCCAAGGGUAUGGCUGUUCGCCAUUUAAAGUGGUACGCGAGCUGGGUUUAGAACGUCGUGAGACAGUUCGGUCCCUAUCUGCCGUGGGCGCUGGAGAACUGAGGGGGGCUGCUCCUAGUACGAGAGGACCGGAGUGGACGCAUCACUGGUGUUCGGGUUGUCAUGC